UGCACCUAGCAAAUCAAAACAAAAACAUCGUGCAGCAUGACACAAUAAUGGUUGUGAAAAAUCUUCAGUGGAACUUUUGCCUUGCUUCUCCAAGGAACAGGACAGGUUCACGGCGAUUCCGUUUAAUUCAUAGGCCUGUUGGCGGCGCACUGUUAUCAGACUUCACUUCCCUUUUCUGCUAGCCAAAACAAGUUCAUUCUCAUCAUAACGAAGCUGCCAAAUUCAAGUGUCAAAAAACUUCGGAAGUAAGUUCGGAAGCCGGAAGUCUGGACUUCCGAACUUCAAUUUAGUGCUGGCGACGAGGUUGUGAUCAAGGACAACAAUUCAACCCAUUUUCAAAAAUCUGAGUAGAAUUCAAGCUUCGAAACCGUCAGCAAAAACCUACGAUUCCCAUUGCAACAUCCCUGGUUGCGGUACUUGGUCCGUCUCCCGGUACGACCCCAAGUUCCCCGCGGCAACAUCCCUGGUUGCUGACAUUUGGUCCAUCUCUCGGCAGGUACGAUUCCAAUUUCCCCGCGGCAACAUCCCUGGUUGCUGUCAUUUGGUCCAUCUCCCGGCAGGUACGAUUCCAAGUUCCCAGCGGCAACAUCCCUGGUUGCUGACACUGAUUAUGAUCGUCUGUAAUUACUUCAGAGUUACAAAUUAUGGUAUUUGUCAGUUAUUUCUCCUGCUUGGGAUAUGAACACAUAUAUAAAUGUGCAUGCACUCGUGAAGAGGAAAAAUAUCAACGUCAUAUGCAGCUAAGAUUCCGCUGUCAUAAAACGUCAUAUGCAGCCAGUCCUAUGGAUGAAAAGGUGAAAAGUAUUGUAUUGAAAAUAAACUGUUAUUGAAAACCUCAAA
rnacentral:lncRNA from 1 species